CUCUUGUAAAUAUUAUAUGUAUAAUAAUUUUUAAAAUAACCAUAAAAUUAUAAAAUAAUACAAAACCAGUAAAAAUAAAAAAACUGGAAUGGAAGAUAAAAACAGAACAUAUAAAGUGGACGGAAUACGAGCAUGAUUGUAAAUGGAACAUUGAAGUGUGUUGAGACAAUGUAUGCAGUAUUUUACAGUGCAAUUAACAAAUACUUACACUCACAAAUAUAGAAGCAUGUAAUAAACCCACAGAAAUAAAUGUUUUCUGAACCAUCCCGAAAAAAAAAAAAAAUGCAUGAGCAGUAAAAAUUUGGUAAAGUUUAUAAUCACAACAAAAAAAAUUUGCAAAUGGGAGGGUCAAGGACACUCCACCACCUGUAUCCGAAAAGAUAAAGGAUUUAACAUGUAAUUGCAAUCUUCUAUAAUUUCACAUAAGAUUAAUCACAUGAAAGAUAAGUUUGUUAUACAAAUGAGACAAAGUUUAUGAUGUUUGGCUCCAGUUACACCAAGAUGACCGCAAAUUUCUGCAUCAUAAGAUAAUGUCCAACUUUGAAGAUUUUUUUUCAAAUUUUCAAUUCUAAAAAUAACCCAGAUAUUUAAAAUAGGGAAUUUAUCUAGAGUGAAAUGCUAUUAUUUAUCUAGUUCUUGAUAGAUACAAAAGUUUGAAAAUAUGUGAAUGAAAAUAUAAACCCACAAUUUGAAAUCUAUGAAUAUUAUAGAAAUCAUAUUUUAAACUAAUUUCUAACUCUCUUUGUCUUGAGAUUGUGCUGUAACAAUUAUAAACAAUUUCAAUUACAUGUGAAAAAUAUAGUAGAUGUGUGUAAAACAUGGGUGAGACAUCAACAAAUAAAGAGGAUUUUAGGAAAUGGAGCAUAUUAACAAAAGGAUUAGAAUAACGCUGUACAUAUAUUCUUAUUUGGCCCUCCAACACAGUAAACAGCGGUGAACUUGCGAUAUGCAAUUCAUCCACAUUUUAACCAUUGAAAUUUUUACUGGUGGUAAGAUAACAAAAAAUCUACGAGGUUACAUAAAAAAAAAUGAAUUUACCCUAUAUACUUGAAGAAAAAGAUUUCUUUAAAAAUCCUAUUGAUUUAAAGGAAGGAAAAAAUGAGAUGCAAACAAAAAAUUCAACAAAAAUUGUAUCGGAUUCAUUGAAAACUUUUUGACAAGCUUAAAGUUUCCAGUGUUAGUCACGUUUACAAAUAUUUGGCUGUAUCAAAUGCAUGGUAUUAAUUAAUAAUAAUGUUAUAAUUCAUUUCUAAGAAACUUAACCAGUGUUGUCCAUUACAGUGACCCUUAUAAUUGCUUAGUACUAACAAUAGAACUUUCACUGAUAUAUAAUAACUGACUCCUGACAAAUUCACCUAAAUGCAAGAUUUAACCAAACUAAGACAUCUGUAUCAUUUAAACACACGGAAGAACAUAUUGCACUUGUUCAGAUACAUUAUUAUAUACAAUUGAUGUUAAUGUGUUUGAAUAUGUUAACCAAUGAUGGUCAGUAAUUUUAUGUUAAAUAUCCAGAAAUAAUAAAGGCAAGAUCUUUGUUGUAGAAAUAAGAAUUCCAUCUAAUCAGUAGUAGCCUUUCAGAAAACACAUAUUUUACUUAAACGAAAACUUGUUGUUUCAUGUUUUCUUCAGACAAUAUUGUCUGCUUUAAUGAUUUUCUUCCUUAAAACCAGAUUUGUUUUUUUAUUGCAUUUUAAGGCUCCACUUACAUUAGAAAAACAAAAUAAUUAAUCACAUAUUAACAAGGUAAUCUUUUAUAAUUUCUAUCAAACCAGAUUAAUAAAAUGUAAAUUUAAAUUUCAUAGAAUUUGAGGGCUUAUAUCGACAUGAAUUUAAUGCACUUCCCUUUGUCUGUAUAAAUAAUUUUGAACAUUGUUUACUUUAUAAUUUGUGAUAUACAUACCUAGACAUUUCUUGCCCUUAGCUUCCUUCAGCAUGUUAAAAUAUGUUUUGAUAAAAUUAUGAGCUGUUACUGCAUUAACAUUCUAUGAGGACAUUAUGCAUGUGUUUUCAGCUAUUCUAUAUAAAUUAGGUAUGAUGUUCUAAUGAAUGAAUAUGAAACCCUAUGUGGUAAUGUAUACUACUCUGAAAUACAAGUGCUAAAUAUUGUCAAGUGGAUUAUUUUUUUCAGAUUUAAUUUCCUGGUUUCAAAUGGUCAAACAAGUUUGCUUGGUUUUAUUUGACCUCUUUUCUUGUCCUUGACUCUUAUCAUUUUAAAUUUCAAAAUUUAUACCAUGGAUAUUUUCACCAUUUUUUUUUUUUAUCUUAUUCAAGAAAUUAACCAAAAUAUACACUCUUAAUAUUUCUCACUUGACAGUGCAAUAUUUACUCUAUGCACUCUAUGCUUAAAUACUGUUACAAUUCUUCUCAAUACUGAACACAUUCAUUUAAAAUCUUAAAGAGAUUUUGAUUUUUGUUUUAUAUGUUAUGUAUAAUUCUAUGUUAGUUUAUACUAUCAAUGGUUAACAUCAACCAAAUUUAGAGACAUUAAAUAAUGUAGUCACUAUUUCCCAGGAGACAAAUUUAAAUUAGUGAGCAACAAUUCAGAUAAAUUUUGUUCCCUUCCAAUGUUAACAAAAAAAUGUUUUUAAAAAUGUAUACAGUGCAUAAAAAUUACAAAAAUUGAGCACACACAAGGCGAAACAAAAAGCAAAUGAAAAUCUUAUAUUGCAGUUCUUCCUCUCUAAGUAAUAAUGAGACUAUCAACAAGGUGCAAAAGCUUACAAGUUCACCAAACUUUUGAAAUAGACUUAAAAAUACAUCUUUCACCCUAAAAAGGUGUGAGAAAUAAUUAUUGUCUUUUCAUGGAAAUUGGUAACACAUAAAAUAAUUGUCCUUCAGUGUAAGCUUAAAUGCAAGAAAAGAAACCAAAAUAAAAUUCUAUUUAAUACAGUAUAACAAUCCAGACAGUGACUAUAGGUCUGAUAAAAACAAAAUAUAGAUUCAAGCAAAAUGUGAGUUUUUGAAUCUAAAUAACAAGAAUUCUAAUAAAACUAAAUAUAUAUGUAAAAAU
rnacentral:lncRNA from 1 species